AUUGUUGAGGGCAUAAGGCCAUAAAACCAUGGCCGUUGAGGAUGCCGCCGCCUGCCAUUCAGCUAUCAACAACCGUUGAAUUGCUGUUUGUUGAGCCGCUCCAAACCAUUGAAUGGAUGGCCUUAACUCAUCCAAAAUUAAUCUUUUAAACCCCCCUAUUUCUAUGCCAUUGAUCACCACUGAGAUUUUUUCCCCGGCUUCCCUU
rnacentral:lncRNA from 1 species